CCUGCCUCAGCCUCCCGAAAUCACUGGGAUUACAAGCAUGCACCACCACAUCUGGUGAGUUUUGGCAUUCCUGAAUAUGGGCAUGCAUUUAACUUCACUGAGGUUAUUUCCUCAGCCUGCCUGCCAUCCACUAAUAGUGUUAGAUAAUAUUGAAAGGCAUUUGUUCAAAGUUUCAUGAAUUCUAAAGUAUCAACCAAAGUGCUGUUAACCCUCUCUGAUUAAUAUUGUGUUCCUGAUGUGGGAACCCUGCCCUCUGCUGUUGUACUGUUGUCAUUACAUUUAUUGGUCCGAGCCUUUGAUUCUGGCAGUGGCCUUCUCCAGAAAGUGUUGCUUGUUUGUUCAGUUUAUUUCUAAGGAAACAGUAAGUCAGCAGGUCAUUAAGGCUGGCUGUUGCCAUGGUGGAAUGGAACCAACAGAGAAAGGAAGGCUAAACAUCUGAGUUUUCGUAAUAUGGACUUCCAUUCUGUCUCCAUUCUGACUUCCAUUCUUUCUCCCCUGAAGCAAAGUUCCUUAGUAAUGUUGCAGAGGAUGACCUCAUCAGUUUGUCCACUGGCCACUCUUCAGUCUUCCUCCUAUAUGACUUCACAAAUUGUACUAGAAGCACAGGUGAGCAUUCCUAAUCCAAAAUGCUCUAAAUCUAAAGCUUUUUAAUUGCCAACAUGAUAUCACUAGUAGAAAAUUCCAUACCCAAUUUCAUACGACUGAUCAUCAUCAAGAUGCAGACACACUAAAAAUAUUGUAUAAAACUACCUGCAGGCUUUGUUAUAAGGGUGAAACAUAAGCGAAUUUCAUGUUUCAACUCAGUUCACAUACCCCAAAUACCCAUCAUGCGUAUGCAAAUAGUCCAAAAUACAAAAUGCUUCUGCUCCCAAGUGUUUUAGAUAAGCAACACUCAAUCUGGAAUAGUUGAAAAAAGUGAAUCAAAGUCAGGCUGCUUGAGCUUACAUCCCAGCUUCACUUACCGGCCACCUGAACGUGAGUCAGCAGUGUAAUCUCUCUGCCGCAGUUUGCUCAUCUGUGAAAGGGGAAAUAUUUUCUGCCUCCAAAAGUUGUUAUGCAGAUUAAAUUCAAUCAUCUAUCUAUUCACAGUCUAAGGUCAUGGUUAGGACUUGAUAGAUAUUAGCAUUUGUCAUAGUGUCUCUCCCUUUUAAAAUAUUCUCUUCCCUUGACUUCCAGAACAUUACACACUUCUUGUUUUCUCCCAUCUCUUUAGUAAUUCCAGUUUGCUUAUCCUCCUUUGAUAUUACUCUUCCUCCAGGUGCACUCUGUUUUCUCCCUAGAAGUUCUUCUGAACAC
rnacentral:lncRNA from 1 species